ACAAGCGGCGGAGCAUGCGGAUUAAUUCGAUGCAACGCGAAGAACCUUACCAAGGCUUGACAUACACCGGUAACGCCCAGAGAUGGGUGCCCCUUUGUGGUCGGUGGACAGGUGGUGCAUGGCUGUCGUCAGCUCGUGUCGUGAGAUGUUGGGUUAAGUCCCGCAACGAGCGCAACCCUUAUCCCUAGUUGCCAUCAGGUAAAGCUGGGAACUCUGGGGAGACUGCCGGUGAUAAACCGGAGGAAGGCGGGGAUGACGUCAAGUCCUCAUGGCCCUUACAUCCCGGGCUACACACGUGCUACAAUGGCAGGUACAGAGGGCUGCGAAGCCGCGAGGUGGAGCGAAUCCCAGAAAACCUGUCUCAGUCCGGAUUGAAGUCUGCAACUCGACUUCAUGAAGGCGGAAUCGCUAGUAACCGCGAAUCAGCAGGUCGCGGUGAAUACGUUCCCGGGCCUU
rnacentral:rRNA from 1 species